rnacentral:lncRNA from 1 species
CCCCUGGGGGUCCCCGCAGUCUCCUGGGGGUCCCCGCAGUCCCCUGGGUGCUGUUGAGGUGUCCCCGUGGUCCCCAGGGUGCUGCUGAGGUCUCUCUGUGGUCUUCAGGGUGCCAGGGAGGUGUCCCCAAUGUCCCUUGGGUGCUGGGGACAUGUCCCCAAGGUCCCCUGGCUGUGCCCACAGAUCCCUGGGUGCUGUUGAGGUGUCCCCAAGGUCCCCAGGGUGCCCGAACGGUUUCCUCAAGGUCCCCUGGGUGCUGGGGACAUGUCCCCAAGGUCCCCUGGGUGUCCCCACAGAUCCCUGGGUGCUGGGGACGUGUCCCCAAGGUCCCCAGGGUGCCAUGGAGGUGUCCCCAAGGUCCCCUGGGUGCUGUUGAGGUGUCCCCAAGGUCCCCAGGGUGCCAGGAGGGUGUCCCCAAGGUUCCUUGGGUGCUGGGGACGUGUCCCCAAGGUCCCCUGGGUGCCAGGGAGGCAUCCCCAACGUCCCUUGGGUGCUGGGGACAUGUCCCCAAGGUCCCCUGGGUGCUGUUGAGGUGUCCCCAGGGUGCCAGGGAGGUGUCCCCAGGGUCCCCUCAGUGCUGUUGA